GCGUCGGUAGUGCAACGGUUCAGCGCGCGUCCCCGUAUAGGGUGAAAUGUGGGUUCGAGUUCCAGCUGUCGCA